rnacentral:SRP_RNA from 1 species
GGUCGGCCCCCUCGGCGACGAAAGGUUGAGAACCCGGUCAGGUCCGGAAGGAAGCAGCCGUAUCAACCUAUUCGGGUGUCAGGGUGUGGUCGGCCCGA